UCGGGAAUUUUGCGCAAUGGGCGAAAGCCUGACGCAGCAACGCCGCGUGAGGGAUGAAGGCCUUCGGGUUGUAAACCUCUUUUCUCAGGGACGAUGAUGACGGUACCUGAGGAAUAAGCCACGGCUAACUACGUGCCAGCAGCCGCGGUAAUACGUAGGUGGCAAGCGUUGUCCGGAUUUACUGGGCGUAAAGAGCGCGCAGGCGGUCGUUCAAGUCGCGUGUGAAAGCCCCCGGCUCAACUGGGGAGGGUCACGCGAUACUGAUCGACUCGAAGGCAGGAGAGGGUAGUGGAAUUCCCGGUGUAAUGGUGAAAUGCGUAGAUAUCGGGAGGAACACCAGUGGCGAAGGCGACUACCUGGCCUGUUCUUGACGCUGAGGCGCGAAAGCUAGGGGAGCAAACGGG
rnacentral:rRNA from 1 species